rnacentral:rRNA from 1 species
CAGAGUCCGAGUUGUAAUUUGAAGAAGGUAUCUUUGGGUCUGGCUCUUGUCUAUGUUUCUUGGAACAGAACGUCACAGAGGGUGAGAAUCCCGUGCGAUGAGAUGAUCCAGGCCUAUGUAAAGUUCCUUCGAAGAGUCGAGUUGUUUGGGAAUGCAGCUCUAAGUGGGUGGUAAAUUCCAUCUAAAGCUAAAUAUUGGCGAGAGACCGAUAGCGAACAAGUACAGUGAUGGAAAGAUGAAAAGAACUUUGAAAAGAGAGUGAAAAAGUACGUGAAAUUGUUGAAAGGGAAGGGCUUGAGAUCAGACUUGGUAUUUUGUAUGUUACUUCUUCGGGGGUGGCCUCUACAGUUUAUCGGGCCAGCAUCAGUUUGGGCGGUAGGAGAAUUGCGUUGGAAUGUGGCACG